ACGUUGAUAGGCCGGGUGUGUAAGCGCAGCGAUGCGUUGAGCUAACCGGUACUAAUGACCCGUGAGGCUUAACCUU
rfam:Pantoea sp. AS1 53__len__254, whole genome shotgun sequence.